AGCGAACGCUGGCGGCAGGCCUAACACAUGCCAGUCGAACGGAUCCUUCGGGAUUAGUGGCGGACGGGCGAGUAACACGUGGGAACGUGCCCUUUGGUUCGGAACAACUCAGGGAAACUUGAGCUAAUACCGGAUGUGCCCUUCGGGGGAAAGAUUUAUCGCCAUUGGAGCGGCCCGCGUCUGAUUAGCUAGUUGGUGAGGUAACGGCCCACCAAGGCGACGAUCAGUAGCUGGUCUGAGAGGAUGAUCAGCCACACUGGGACUGAGACACGGCCCAGACUCCUACGGGAGGCAGCAGUGGGGAAUCUUGCGCAAUGGGCGAAAGCCUGACGCAGCCAUGCCGCGUGAAUGAUGAAGGUCUUAGGAUUGUAAAAUUCUUUCAGCGGGGACGAUAAUGACGGUACCCGCAGAAGAAGCUCCGGCUAACUUCGUG
rnacentral:rRNA from 1 species